AUCUGUAUAAUAUUUUAUUUCUUAAUAUUAUCAGCAUCUAAUUGUCACACUUGCAGUAUUUUUUUAGCUUUCUAAAUUAUAUGUUCCUGGAAGCAUUGUUUCCGCUUACAUGCAGAUUACUUUAUUGUCAAAAUUAUUAAAAAAUGGUUGCCACAAGAUGUACAAUGUUUAGUUCUUUGUUUUUUCCUUUGAUAAAAAUAUUUUUUCCUAUAGAUAGUAUCAGAAAAAUAUCAUUAAAGGUACUGAUUCAGCAGCAUUCCUAUUUUUCUAUAUCGUUGCUUAUAUGCGAUGCUCAAAACGUACCUACAUGACUUUGGCCUAAAAAAAGAUCUUGGAUGCAUGUCUGCCUGUUUUGUUUUUAGUUUUGACAAUGUCGAAUUUUAUCACAGCAUCCACCAAAACGUGAUAUUUCGGGUUCCUAAUCUUUUGACUACACAAAGUGUGAUUAGCUUAUGGUAAUGUAGAAAGUUGUAAGAGAUAGACAUGUGAAUUACAGGAAAACAUAGAUUGAUCUCUGUAUUGCCAAGCAGGUUGCAGGCAAGCUAAUCCUUUUUUUACAGAAUUUUUUUUUUUUUUGCUUUACUUAUGUUCAUUAUGACCUAACCCAGUAUGGAUAACUCGAAGGAAAUCAGGGCAGUUUUGUAAGCAAUGAGCAAGUUUCCUUGAUGUUCCCUGAUGCAGUCAAAUACUCGCUGAUACAUAUAUGCAAUGGAAACAUUUCAACCAAAUGAUUUCUGUAUAGAAAGCUAAGAAUGAAAAUAGUUUUGAUAUGCUUAGUGCUCAUAUUUGUAUGUGUAUGAUCAUUUUUGUUGCUAUAUAACGAUCUCAAUAACUGAAUCCGCAGACUGUGCAUGUAUACUUAUGUGCCUUUCAUACUAACUGCAUCGGCUUUCCUUGCAAUUAAAUAUGACAUGUGCUUCUUUAUAUUUAUUUUUAAAUACAUUUUAUUUCUUAUCUAUUGACUGUACAUUUGUGUGGCUAAUUUUGUAUUUGAUUGUCUAUUUUUUUUACUGUGUGCCUGGGCAGAGAAGCUUUAUGUUCUUUGAUACAGUACAUUUUCUACUGCUGACAUACCAAGUUAGUGGCAUCUAAAUCAUGUAUAUGGCACCUUCUCUAUUGCGAUUGUCAUGUCGACAGUAGGCCUGGAAUAUCUAGCCCUUAAUUGCAGCUACUGUCGGUUGUUUUUUCUAAAAUCUUUUGUGAUUACACGUCCUACUGGAAUCGUCAAGUCAGCAUGAUGCCUGGAAUAUCUAGCCCUUAGUUGAUGCUCGUCUUUGGGUUUCUUUUAUGUUGUUUAUCCUCUCAUGUUGUUGCAUUCUUUUCUGCAAUAUGUACCCUCUAUAUUCAGUUAGUUCAUGUUGUUUACUUACUCUUUUCCGCAGGGCACCUUCUCUAUUGCAACGGGAGGCCUGGAAUACUAUCGGUUGUUUUUGCCAAAAUCUUUUGUCAUCA